rnacentral:rRNA from 1 species
GUUAAAUAGCACGGUGAAAAGGGUGGUUAGAAGAAAAAUUAAUUGGCUGUAGCUUUGGGCUAGUGGUAAAAAACUAAUCCCGCAAGAAACCCUUACCCCCAAAUUAAACAUUUGAAGCCACGAAAACUAAGACCUAAACCAGGAUUAGAUACCCUGUUAUACUUAGAAGUGAACAACCUUAAGCACCAGAGAACUACGAACCUAAAGUUUAAAACUCAAAGGACUUGGCGGUUUUCCAAACCUCCCUGGAGGAGCUUGCCAUUGAAUCGAUAACCCACGAAAUACCUCACCAACUUUUGUAACAACAGCUUGUAUACCAUCGUCGUAAGUCUACUUCUUGAGAAAGUUGACUUUAAGGGAGAGCCCUAGACGUCAGAUCAAGGUGCAGCCUAUAGGUUGGGAAUAGGUGAGCUACAAUGUUUGAACAAACCAGUGAAAGAAAGAGAUGAAAUGCUCCUCGGAAAUUGGAUUCAGCAGUAAGCCCCAUUAAGACAAUGGGA